rnacentral:rRNA from 1 species
UAUCUCUGUAGAGUCUGCAUAUCAAUAAGCGGAGGAAAAGAAACUAACUAGGAUUCCCUUAGUAACGGCGAGUGAAGCGGGAAGAGCUCAAAUUUGAAAUCUUCAAGGUUCUACCUUGACGAAUUGUAGUUUAAAGAAGUGUUUUCUGUUGGAGUUUUGGUAAAAGUUCUUUGGAAUAGGACAUCAUAGAGGGUGAGAAUCCCGUAUUUGACCAUUAUUUCCAGCUUUGUGAUACACUUUCAAAGAGUCGGAUUGUUUGGGAAUGCAGUCCAAAAUGGGUGGUAAAUUUCAUCUAAAGCUAAAUAUUGGCGAUGAGACCGAUAGCGAACAAGUACCGUGAGGGAAAGAUGAAAAGAACUUUGAAAAGAGAGUUUAACAGUACGUGAAAUUGUCAAAAGGGAAGCGUUUGACACCAGUGUUGUUUUCUCGAAAAUCAAUUAAAAAAAGUUGGAUUUUGUAUUGUUAAGACCUUAUCAGCUUACUGUACUCUUUUCUUGCUUUUUUUAAUGCACUUUUCGUUUAACAAGUCAACAUCAAUUUCUUUUGUUGUAAAAGGGUCAUUGGAAGGUGGCUUUCUUUUCGGAGAAAGUGUUUAUAGCCUUUGGCUCCUGCAAUCGGAGAGAUUGAGGUCUGCAGCGUAGAUCCUUCGGGGCUAAUGCAUUUGUGCUAAGUUAUAGCAUUUUAUAGACAACUUGUUGACUAUGAUUUGUCUUGUAGCUUACUCGCUUAUGUUAUUUUACCUACGCUUAGGAUGUUGACGAUCAGCUGAGCGCG